rnacentral:rRNA from 1 species
GACGAACGCUGGCGGCGUGCUUAACACAUGCAAGUCGAACGGAAAGUCCCUGCUUUUGUGGGGUGCGCGAGUGGCGAACGGGGGAGUAACACGUGAGUAACCUGCCCUUGACUGUGGGAUAUCUUCAGGAAACUGGGGCUAAUAGCGGAUAGGAGCUCCUGCUGCAUGGUGGGGGUUGGAAAGUUUCGGCGGUUGGGGAUGGAAUAGCGGCUUAUCAGCUUGUUGGUGGGGUAGUGGCUGACCAAGGCCUUGACGGGUAGCCGGGCUGGGAGGGUAACCGGACACACUGGGCCUGAGCUAAGGCACAGACUACUACGGGAGGCAGGGGUGGAGAGUAGUACACAAGGGGCGGGAGCCUGGCGUAGCCAAGCAGCGCGGGGGAUGAGGGGCUUCGGGUUGGAAUGCAAUGUUCUCUUUGACGAAGCGUGAGUGACGGUACCGGGUAAAGAAGCACCGGCUAACUACGUG